CUGAAAGACGGUGAAUUAUGCCAGGGCAGGGAAAAGCCCGAGUAAACUCUGAUAGAAGUCCAUAGUGGUCUAGAAGUGCAAAUCAGUCACCCGACCUGGGUAUAGGAGGGAAAGACUGAAUCGAAUUGUCUAGUAGCUG
rnacentral:ncRNA from 1 species